AGAGUUUGAUCCUGGCUCAGAACGUACGCUGGCGGCACGCCUAACACAUGCAAGUCGAACGAAGUAGCAAUACUUAGUGGCAGACGGGUGAGUAACAUGUAGGUAUCUUCCCUUUGGCCUGGAAUAACACGAGGAAACUUGUGCUAAUACCGGAUAAGUCUUUACGGAGAAAGCUUUAUGCACCAUUGGAUGAGCCUGCACUUGAUUAGUUUGUUGGUGGGGUAAUGGCCUACCAAGACUGUGAUCAAUAGCUGAUUUGAGAGGAUGAUCAGCCACAUUGGGACUGAGACACGGCCCAAACUCCUACGGGAGGCAGCAGUGGGGAAUCUUGCACAAUGGAGGAAACUCUGAUGCAGCGAUGCCGCGUGAGUGAAGAAGGCCUUUGGGUUGUAAAGCUCUUUCGUCGGGGAAGAAAAUGACUGUACCCGAAUAAGAAGGUCCGGCUAACUUCGUGCCAGCAGCCGCGGUAAUACGAAGGGACCUAGCGUAGUUCGGAAUUACUGGGCUUAAAGAGUUCGUAGGUGGUUGAAAAAGUUAGUGGUGAAAUCCCAGAGCUUAACUCUGGAACUGCCAUUAAAACUUUUCAGCUAGAGUAUGAUAGAGGAAAGCAGAAUUUCUAGUGUAGAGGUGAAAUUCGUAGAUAUUAGAAAGAAUACCAAUUGCGAAGGCAGCUUUCUGGAUCAUUACUGACACUGAGGAACGAAAGCAUGGGUAGCGAAGAGGAUUAGAUACCCUCGUAGUCCAUGCCGUAAACGAUGUGUGUUAGACGUUGGAAAUUUAUUUUCAGUGUCGCAGCGAAAGCGAUAAACACACCGCCUGGGGAGUACGACCGCAAGGUUAAAACUCAAAUGAAUUGACGGGGACCCGCACAAGUAGUGGAGCAUGUGGUUUAAUUCGAAGAUACGCGCAGAACCUUACCAACACUUGACAUGUUCGUCGCGACUCUAAGAGAUUGGAGUUUUCGGUUCGGCCGGACGAAACACAGGUGCUGCAUGGCUGUCGUCAGCUCGUGUCGUGAGAUGUUGGGUUAAGUCCCGCAACGAGCGCAACCCUCACUUUUAGUUGCCAUCAUUAAGUUGGGCACUCUGAAAGAACUGCCAGUGAUAAGCUGGAGGAAAGUGGGGAUGACGUCAAGUCCUCAUGGCCCUUACGUGUUGGGCUACACACGUGCUACAAUGGUAUCUACAACAGGAAGCAAGACUGCGAGGUCAAGCAAAUCCUUAAAAGAUACCUCAGUUCGGAUUGCACUCUGCAACUCGAGUGCAUGAAGCUGGAAUUACUAGUAAUCGUGGAUCAGCGUGCCACGGUGAAUGCGUUCCCGGGUCUUGUACACACCGCCCGUCACACCAUGGGAGUUGGUUCUACCUUAAGGCAAGGUUUAAAACCCUUGACCACGGUAUAGUCAGCGACUGGGGUGAAGUCGUAACAAGGUAACC
rnacentral:rRNA from 1 species